rnacentral:rRNA from 1 species
GACGAACGCUGGCGGCGUGCUUAACACAUGCAAGUCGAACGGAAAGGCCCUGCUUGCAGGGUACUCGAGUGGCGAACGGGUGAGUAACACGUGGGUGAUCUGCCCUGCACUUCGGGAUAAGCCUGGGAAACUGGGUCUAAUACCGGAUAGGAGCCAUUUUUAGUGUGAUGGUUGGAAAGUUUUUUCGGUGUAGGAUGAGCUCGCGGCCUAUCAGCUUGUUGGUGGGGUAAUGGCCUACCAAGGCGGCGACGGGUAGCCGGCCUGAGAGGGUGGCCGGCCACAGUGGGAGGGAGAUACGGACCAGAUGCCGACGGGAUGCAGCAGGGGGGAAUAUGGCAAAAGGGGGGGAAGCCGGAGGCAGGAACGCCGGGUGAGGGAUGAAGGCCUGCGGGUUGUAAACCGAUUGGGAAUGUGACGAAGCGUGAGGGACGGUAAGGGGUAAAGAAGCACCGGCUAACUACGUG